AGAGUGCUUUUGAGCCAAGGAUGACUUGCCGGCGUAAUUACGGGUAUUGCCGGCGAGACAUCCUUGUUCACUUAUGCUCUCU
rnacentral:pre_miRNA from 1 species